UACCGAGGUCGGGUUUUGCAAUUAUGUUUUUGACAUAACUGCGAAAUCGAUGGUUUACCCAUAUACAGAGGUCGGGUUUUGCAAUUAUGUUUUUGACAUAACUGCGAAAUCGAUGGUAAAUAUGAAAGCGUGCAGAUAGGGUAUAAAAGAAAGAAAUGGAUGGCAAAUAGGAGAUAGAUAGUGGUUAUAUAAGUAUAGGACAGUUGGCUCCUUGAGUACGGGGUGUUAUAUUGUGUCGUGUAGAGAGAGAUUGUGUAACGAUGCGCGCUCUAAGAUAGUGACUGAUAAGCGAUGAGCUUAUGCGAUGGCCUAUAUUGAGCGAAAAUAAUACGCGGAGGCAGGCAGCAGAAACGGCAGGGAUACGAAGAAUCGAGUGAAGUAAAUGGCAUAUACCUGGCGGGCUGAUAAAAGGAGCCUCUGACGACCAGCCUUCCACAGGAAAACCGGAUGGCAAGCCAAGCAACUAGGUCAAAAGGGUGUCCAAAACUUCGUUUUAUUAUAAGUAACACAUUACAUGCGAUAGAAUAUCUUCAUUAAAUAAAUCAGUUAUAUCCU